rnacentral:rRNA from 1 species
ACGGGAGGCAGCAGUGGGGAAUAUUGCACAAUGGGGGAAACCCUGAUGCAGCGACGCCGCGUGAGUGAAGAAGUAUUUCGGUAUGUAAAGCUCUAUCAGCAGGAAAGAAAAUGACGGUACCUGACUAAGAAGCCCCGGCUAACUACGUGCCAGCAGCCGCGGUAAUACGUAGGGGGCAAGCGUUAUCCGGAUUUACUGGGUGUAAAGGGAGCGUAGACGGCUUUGCAAGUCUGAAGUGAAAGCCCGGGGCUCGACCCCGGAACUGCUUUGGAAACUGUAGAGCUAGAGUGCAGGAGAGGUAAGUGGAAUUCCUAGUAUAGCGGUGAAAUGCGUAGAUAUUAGGAGGAACACCAGUGGCGAAGGCGGCUUACUGGACUGUAACUGACGUUGAGGCCCGAAGGCGUGGGGAGCAAACAGGAUUAGAUACCCUGGUA